rnacentral:rRNA from 1 species
AUUGAACGUUGGCGGCAGGCCUAACACAUGCAAGUCGAGCGGAUGAAGGGAGCUUGCUCCUGGAUUCAGCGGCGGACGGGUGAGUAAUGCCUAGGAAUCUGCCUGGUAGUGGGGGAUAACGUCCGGAAACGGGCGCUAAUACCGCAUACGUCCUGAGGGAGAAAGUGGGGGAUCUUCGGACCUCACGCUAUCAGAUGAGCCUAGGUCGGAUUAGCUAGUUGGUGGGGUAAAGGCCUACCAAGGCGACGAUCCGUAACUGGUCUGAGAGGAUGAUCAGUCACACUGGAACUGAGACACGGUCCAGACUCCUACGGAAGGCAGCAGUGGGGAAUAUUGGACAAUGGGCGAAAGCCUGAUCCAGCCAUGCCGCGUGUGUGAAGAAGGUCUUCGGAUUGUAAAGCACUUUAAGUUGGGAGGAAGGGCAGUAAGUUAAUACCUUGCUGUUUUGACGUUACCAACAGAAUAAGCACCGGCUAACUUCGUG